UGAUGAGCUUGAAUGAAUUAUUUAGAUGUUUUAUUGAAUCAGUUAGACUCAGGAGGACAUUCAGAUAAUAAUUUCAUUGUAAUGCAAAAUUAUAUUAUUAAUCUGGUAAGUGUUGCUAUAAUUUGGGCAUGGAAGGAUUAAUUGUAAGGUUUUCUUGAUGAAAGGCUUUAAUUUGGAGAGAAUUCAUUUAAUAUUGAAGGUCUUUUCCCCUGCUCCGCUUUUUUACUUGAUAUGUUUUCGUUAUCUGAAAAUUUAAAUGAAAAAGGAAUUAAACACCUCACAUAUAUUUUAUUUUCCAUGAUAUUUUUGCAGGGAGCUGUCAAAGUAAUGGCAAA
rnacentral:misc_RNA from 1 species